GAGUUUGAUCGUGGCUCAGGAUGAACGCUGGCGGCGUGCCUAAUACAUGCAAGUCGAGCGAACAGACGAGGAGCUUGCUCCUCUGACGUUAGCGGCGGACGGGUGAGUAACACGUGGAUAACCUACCUAUAAGACUGGGAUAACUUCGGGAAACCGGAGCUAAUACCGGAUAAUAUAUUGAACCGCAUGGUUCAAUAGUGAAAGACGGUUUUGCUGUCACUUAUAGAUGGAUCCGCGCCGCAUUAGCUAGUUGGUAAAGUAACGGCUUACCAAGGCAACGAUGCGUAGCCGACCUGAGAGGGUGAUCGGCCACACUGGAACUGAGACACGGUCCAGACUCCUACGGGAGGCAGCAGUAGGGAAUCUUCCGCAAUGGGCAAAGCCUGACGGAGCAACGCCGCGUGAGUGAUGAAGGUCUUCGG
rnacentral:rRNA from 1 species